rnacentral:rRNA from 1 species
GACGAACCGAGCGAACGUUGUUCGGAAUCACUGGGCUUAAAGGGCGCGUAGGCGGGUGCUCAAGUCCGUGGUGAAAUCCUCCGGCUCAACCGGAGAACUGCCUCGGAUACUGGGCGUCUCGAGUGUGGUAGGGGUAUGCGGAACUAUCGGUGGAGCGGUGAAAUGCGUUGAUAUCGAUAGGAACUCCGGUGGCGAAGGCGGCAUACUGGACCACCACUGGCGCUGAUGCGCGAAAGCCAGGGGAGCAAACGGG